AGUAGCUGGAAUUUCGUAGUGCACCAAUACACCCAGGAAUGCAGAACCCAGCGACAGUGAGGGCCAACUGUACUGUGUUGAACAGACUCAUCACGUCCCAGGACAUAAGCACAUCUCUGUGGGUUUAUUUUUAUUUUUAUUUUUUUAACCAAAGGUGCAUAACCAGAAUGUAACCAAAAAGGACUAAUUGAAGUAUAUUCUACACAGUAAAUGACAUGUACUCUGCAAAAAUGUCAAGGUCAUGAAGGCUGAAGAAUGGUUCCAAAUUGAAGGAGACUGAAGAAAGACAUUACUAAAUCCGAUGAAUGAUUCUGAAUUGUAUCUGGGUCAGCUAGUUGCUUGGCUGCUCUAAUAAGGAAGGCUCCACUGGUCUUGGUUCCAAGUUGUAGGUUGAGUCUGGUACCACAUGUUCACAUUCUCAGCAGCUAACUGAAGCACAUUUUUCCACAGUCAAAAUUCAAGACAAGUUCAACUGCACAAGGAUAUUUCAAGUUUCUGCUCACUUCACAUCUAAAGUAUCUCAUUGGCUAAAGCAAGUCACAAGAACAACGCCAAUGUCAAGGGGUUCAUAUGGAUGCAUAAUACUGUCACCACAGGGCAGUGAAGAAUUGAGAUCAAUAAUUCAAGCUACCACACUAGCCAAGUGCCUUACACGUUCCUUGGCUCACUACAUGGUAUAACACACAGUGGCAAAUUCCCAUCUCAAGUGACAAUUAGUGCCAACCACAUUGCUGAACCCAGGGACAAUGCUGAUACUGAAUGAUCUACUACUGUAAAAUCUUUUUACUCUGUUGAUGAAGAGGUUGCCAUGCCAAUGUUCCAUAACUAUGUUGGUUCUAGGGAAACAUAGCUUUUUGGAAAUUUACAUUUACCUAUUAGAAAGUCUGCAAACAUCUUAUAGCAGAAGUUCCAAUUAUAUGGUCUGGAAAAGUAAUUACAGAUACGACCAAAAAAGAAACACCAACAACAUUGUGAACAAGGGGGUUUAGUAAGCAUGAAAUAUGAGGGUGACAAAGUGAAAAAUUCCCAAAUUUCCUCAAAAGUGUAAGAAAUAAAUAAUUCUGUCAUUUCCAUGACAGUUAAAAAGAAUAAAAAAUGAAGUAUUGUUUUUAAAAAUAAAGAAAAAUAAAACAGUGAAAAAAAAUAAGCUAGCUUUAGAGUCACAAUGCCCGGAUUUAGGUACUGGCUCCAACAUGUAGAAGGCCUGUUAACUGAUAUAAAUUAUCUCACCUAUUCAAUUCUUAACAUCCUAUUCUCUAAAUCCAGACAAUAGGAAGAAUAUAGUUCAUGGAACUGUUUGAGAAUUAAAAGAAGUAAUACAUAUAAUUCCCAUAGAGUGGUGGCUGGUUGGCCCUAUUUAAAAAGCGUUUGGAACUUGUCACUACAUUGAAAUUAUUAUUUAAUAAUUAUUUAUUAUCAAUUUUGAGUACAGUAAUGAAAUGUCA
rnacentral:lncRNA from 1 species